rnacentral:rRNA from 1 species
GAGCGGACAGAAGGGAGCUUGCUCCCGGAUGUUAGCGGCGGACGGGUGAGUAACACGUGGGUAACCUGCCUGUAAGACUGGGAUAACUCCGGGAAACCGGAGCUAAUACCGGAUAGUUCCUUGAACCGCAUGGUUCAAGGAUGAAAGACGGUUUCGGCUGUCACUUACAGAUGGACCCGCGGCGCAUUAGCUAGUUGGUGGGGUAAUGGCUCACCAAGGCGACGAUGCGUAGCCGACCUGAGAGGGUGAUCGGCCACACUGGGACUGAGACACGGCCCAGACUCCUACGGGAGGCAGCAGUAGGGAAUCUUCCGCAAUGGACGAAAGUCUGACGGAGCAACGCCCCGUGAGUGAUGAAGGUUUUCGGAUCGUAAAGCUCUGUUGUUGGGGAAGAACAAGUGCGAGAUUAACUGCUCGCACCUUGACGGAACCUAACAAAAAAGCCACGGCUAACUACGUGCCAGCAGCCGCGGUAAUACGUAGGUGGCAAGCGUUGUCCGGAAUUAUUGGGCGUAAAGGGCUCGCAGGCGGUUUCUUAAGUCUGAUGUGAAAGCCCCCGGCUCAACCGGGGAGGGUCAUUGGAAACUGGGAAACUUGAGUGCAGAAGAGGAGAGUGGAAUUCCACGUGUAGCGGUGAAAUGCGUAGAGAUGUGGAGGAACACCAGUGGCGAAGGCGACUCUCUGGUCUGU